GACGAACGCUGGCGGCGUGCCUAACACAUGCAAGUCGAGCGAUGAAACCCUUCGGGGUGGAUUAGCGGCGGACGGGUGAGUAACACGUGGGUAACCUGCCUCAAAGAGGGGGAUAGCCUCCCGAAAGGGAGAUUAAUACCGCAUAAUAUUAGUUUUUCGCAUGAAGAACUAAUUAAAGGAGUAAUCCGCUUUGAGAUGGACCCGCGGCGCAUUAGCUAGUUGGUGAGGUAAAGGCUCACCAAGGCGACGAUGCGUAGCCGACCUGAGAGGGUGAUCGGCCACAGUGGAACUGAGACACGGUCCAGACUCCUACGGGAGGCAGCAGUGGGGAAUAUUGCACAAUGGGCGAAAGCCUGAUGCAGCAACGCCGCGUGAGUGAUGAAGGCCUUCGGGUUGUAAAGCUCUGUCUUUUGGGACGAUAAUGACGGUACCAAAGGAGGAAGCCACGGCUAACUACGUGCCAGCCGCCGCCGUAAGAC
rnacentral:rRNA from 1 species